rnacentral:rRNA from 1 species
AGUGAACGCUGGCGGUAGGCCUAACACAUGCAAGUCGAACGGCAGCACAGUAAGAGCUUGCUCUUACGGGUGGCGAGUGGCGGACGAGUGAGGAAUACAUCGGAAUCUACUUUUUCGUGGGGGAUAACGUAGGGAAACUUACGCUAAUACCGCAUACGACCUACGUGUGAAAGCAGGGGAUCUUCGGACCUUGCGCGAUUGAAUGAGCCGAUGUCGGAUUAGCUAGUUGGCGGGGUAAAGGCCCACCAAGGCGACGAUCCGUAGCUGGUCUGAGAGGAUGAUCAGCCACACUGGAACUGAGACACGGUCCAGACUCCUACGGGAGGACGCAGUGGGGAAUAUUGGACAAUGGGCGAAAGCCUGAUCCAGCCAUACCGCGUGGGUGAAGAAGGCCUUCGGGUUGUAAAGCCCUUUUGUUGGGAAAGAAAAGCAGCAGGUUAAUACCCCGCUGUUCUGACGGUACCCAAAGAAUAAGCACCGGCUAACUUCGUG